ACAGCAUAUCGGCUGCAGUUGUUAAGGCUGGCAUUAUUGGCAUUAGAUCACUGAAGAGGAAAUAAAGUGUGCAAGAAUACUCUCUUGUCACCAGAUUACUGAGGUGUACUGGAGACUCAGCUAGCAAAAAAGAGAAGCAGCUGAACAUCAAAAGAGAAGCAGCAGCUAGGCAUCAGAGACUAUGGUUGGACGUUGGAGAGAAGCAGCUU
rnacentral:lncRNA from 10 species